GUCAUGUUUAUGAAUGGAGUGACUCCUGCAAAGACAAUCAGAUAUCGUAGGAAGAUCCCAAAGCGGAAACGAGUUCCACUGACUGAGAGGAUUCUGCUUCCUGGUUUAGAAUGCAAUGGCUUCUUCCCCUCCUUCAUGACCCAGCCCCGACUCCCUUUCACAAAGGGCAAGGUGAGGAACCGCGGGUUCUAAUUCGAAGGACUUUCCCAAGAAUCUUGUUCUUACUGUCCAUGUCAAGUGUCUUUCUCUUGGAAACCAUAGGGAGUGUUCUGGGGUGGGAUUGGAGCCCGCUUCCCUUAGGGGGCCCAGAUAUCAUGGGAUCAUAGAUUUGAUUGAGAGCUGAAAAGUAGCAUUGAAAUCACCUAGAUCACUUCCUGUUUUUGAAAAUGAGUAAACAGGAGUCAAAAAAAAAGGAAAAUGACUUUUCCAAAGUCACAGAGGGAGCUGGAGCUGGAAUUCCACCCUAGGUCAUUUGACCACAUAUCCAGGGUUCUCACCACCACCCACCCAUUGCCUUUUGGGAUUGAAUCAUUAGACCAAAGAUGGGAAAAAUGAUAGAGCUAACAGAUCCAAGGUAGGCCCAAUGAGGAUGGAGCUGAGAACCAGUUCACUGUGGCCCAAUAAGAACCCACCUUGGAAAAGAAAGAAGGUGGAGUGGGGUGGGAAGAAUCAUAGAAUGUCAGAAUUGUAAAGGAUCUUAAGAAGCAUCUAGCCCAACAACCCUUUCAUUUUCCAAAUAAGAAAACAAUCUCUAAGGGCCAAAGAGAAAGGGGGCUGAAAUCAACCCUUGAGGAAACUCACAGGAAAAGAUGACACCUACCUUCAAGGAAUAAUAACUACUUGGGAGAUAGAUGGGAGAUGGAAUGAGAGACCCGACCCUAACCCCAAUGACUGGUAAAAUGGGUUUUGGAGACUGACAUGGACAGAGACAGAUAAGUCAUGGGCAGGGUGUGAUUGCAAAUUCAAUCCAAGUCAUCAUGGCAGCCAAAAAAAAGGUAAUCGUCUCCUAGGCUAUUGCUGUUAAAGAGGCAUGUUGUCUAGAAUGAAAAAUGAAUAAUCUUGCUGUA